rfam:Bacillus cibi strain DSM 16189 Contig01, whole genome shotgun sequence.
UGAACCUUUAAGACAGUCCCGUGAGGCUGAGAAGGAAACGGAUCUUAUGCGCAUAGUCUGCGUAUAUUUAAGCACGCAUCCAAUCCCUCUUGCCAAACGGCAGGAGGGAUUUUCUUGUU